rnacentral:rRNA from 1 species
GAUGAACGCUGGCGGCGUGCCUAAUACAUGCAAGUCGAGCGAACAGACGAGGAGCUUGCUCCUCUGACGUUAGCGGCGGACGGGUGAGUAACACGUGGAUAACCUACCUAUAAGACUGGGAUAACUUCGGGAAACCGGAGCUAAUACCGGAUAAUAUAUGGAACCGCAUGGUUCAAUAGUGAAAGACGGUUUUGCUGUCACUUAUAGAUGGAUCCGCGCCGCAUUAGCUAGUUGGUAAGGUAACGGCUUACCAAGGCAACGAUGCGUAGCCGACCUGAGAGGGUGAUCGGCCACACUGGAACUGAGACACGGUCCAGACUCCUACGGGAGGCCGCAGUAGGGAAUCUUCCGCAAUGGGCGAAAGCCUGACGGAGCAACGCCGCGUGAGUGAUGAAGGUCUUCGGAUCGUAAAACUCUGUUAUUAGGGAAGAACAAAUGUGUAAGUAACUAUGCACGUCUUGACGGUACCUAAUCAGAAAGCCACGGCUAACUACGUG